ensembl:lncRNA
CAGAGAGAGGGUGCAGACACAUCAGUGCAUAACUGCCUAGUUGUACAUAGAGUACAUAGUUAAUGAGAGACUGGGUUGCUUAGUCAGUUAGUCAGUGUGUAUGACUUAGGUCCUAAGUCAUUCAGUCAGCAUGCAGAGCAACAUCUACAGGCAGCAGAAUGAGCACUUUGAAGUCUUUACCACUGUCCUCUCCCCACAAGUUCACCGGGGACGAUGCCAAUUCAGACAGGCAGAGGCUGACCAGAUGGUGGUAAAGCGCAGCUACAAGCCCCACUGGCCAGAUGAGCUGGCGCUGACCCGGGGGGAGUUCAUCCUGGUUCUGUGUAAAGAUGAUGAGGCCCGGUGGUUUGGGCGGCUGCAAAACGGACAGCAGGGAUACUUCCCGGCCUCGCAUGUUGUGGAGCUGAGCCACCAGGACGAUGAGCCAGCUAAAGACGUCCACCGCUUAGCGAGACGGGGUUCAGCUCCGGCCACGUAUGCAGGUGGUACUGGCGCACUCAGGCUGCAGGCCCUCCGCAGAGCCAGCAGAGCAGCGGCAGGAGGGGGGCCGGAGGGGGCCGAGGGGGAGAGAGAGGGCCCCAUCCUGAUACUGAAGUCCCAGAUCUCUCUCCCUAACAGGCUGCCCCAGCCCCUGCCCCAACCCCAGCCACAGGCACACAGCUCCCCAAGUUUCCUCCACAGGAUCCUAUCCAAGCACCGUCGGAGGAGUGAUUGUCAUGGGUCCAGCAACACGGGCUACAUGGCCGACUAAGAUGCUACGAUGGACGGUGGUGUGUGGGGAGAGAAACAGGCACAAGAGGGGAAAGGAGGGAGGAGAGAGGAGGAGAUUGGGUAUAGCGAAAAGUGACUACAUUUUGUGCCCACCCCCAAUGGGGCCAGGUAGGGUUGCCAUAGUUACAUCACUAAUGCUAGUCUAUGACUGAACUGCUGGCUGCAUCAUUGGAGAGCUGGAGUGAGGGUAACUACUUCCCUGCCUCCUCUGUAAAGUGUUUAAGAAAUAUCAAUGGUGUACCGUAUAUACAUUUUCCGGGAUUAAGAUGUGACAUUAAGCAAGCCGUAAAUUGAAGGGUUGAAUAGGGGGAUCAGAUUUAUGACUAUAUUUUAUGAAGCUAACUGUGUUUACUUCAGCCAAAUAAUGUUCCAUGAGUCUGCUUGAGCUUUCUGUUCCAUGAGUCUGCCUGAGCUUUCUGUUCCAUGUUGUCAUCCAUAUUAGGCUGUAUUCUCUGCAACUAUGACGUUCCAGAGCAGCACUAAAUCAUUGAUAUAUUUCCUUUUGACUAUAAAUUGUUCAAUUUCAUUUGUGUUAAACCCAACAUCAGCCAAGAAUGUAUUUUUCAUAAAAAAUAAUCAAACCCGUACUUGCGGCUGAUAUCCCUUAAUUCUAGUUAGUAACAUAUUCCACUACAGCAUGUACCACGGCAAGAGUCUUCCAUUCAACGGAACUGAAAAAAGCCCUGCGAAGUGAGAGGAUGUGUGAUUGAGGCGUGUUGAAAGGCACUGCCAAAGGAAAUGGCAUCAUUAUUGUGAAGGUUGCCCAGGCAAUGGUAAAACAGCUCUCUCUCUCUGGGCUCAACACAGUCUUCAGUGGUACCUCCCAGCAUGGCCACGACUGGAGUACGCUGUAGAAUGUAUCCUUUGAAAGGGCAACGCUGUGGAAUGUAUCCUUUGGAAGGACUAAAGCUCCAACUCUCUAAUCCUAAUCCUAACCUUGACCUCUAUUAGAUUUAGACACCACAUCCACCAGCCCAGUGAUGUGUCCAUUGAUAAACUUAGAUCAGAUCUAUUCUAACAAGGACCAUAUCCCCGCCUGAUAUGUGAGAUUAUGGCACUAGCAAGCAGUAAUGCGAACUACAGGGAAUGCUGGUUAAAAAGGUAAGCGUUUAAAAAAAAACACCAAAGCCAAAAGCCGUCCUGUAAUUUAUGACUAGUUGCAUGGUCAGUCUGAACCUCUGUGUUGUUGAAGAUGGAAGCAGAAAUAGUGUCUGAACAGUUUUCCAACAUCUUGGUGUUCCUUCGCACAUCUUCCUGAUUUCUUAGUAUGUGAUAUAGGAUGUUUGAUGCUGGAGGCCUGGCCGCCACAGCCAUCUGCUGAGAAAGGCUUAGCGCCUCUGAGAGAGGAGAAGCUUUCCCCCUCUGACUGGCCUCUCCUCUCUCUACUCUCCUUCAUCCAUUCAUUCAUUCAAUCAGUGCUUUAAUUAUCUCUAAUCCAGGGUCAAACUCUGCCUCUCUCUAACUCCUGGAAUAAAGCCUUGCUAUGUGGAUUAUUGUGGUUGACAUCCAGUGGGGACAGUGACAGCUACACACAGAGUGACAGAGGCCCUACUCUCAUAGAGGCUAGAGGUCCAGAGGGCUGGUGUGUGUGUAGAGGGGGGAUGUUCACCUGCCUGACACCUGUUCUUUCCCCUCCUCACCUGUGGAGCAGCAGAUGCUAUGCAGGAGAGUGCUGAGCCCUGCCCCACCCCCAGUGAACACAGUCUGUACCCCUCAUACACUGUCUUCCAUGCCCAUUCAACCAGGAAACCUUGACUAAGCACACACACACACACACACACACACACACACACACACACACACACACACACACACACACACACACACACACACACACACACACACACACACACACACACACACACACACACACACACACACACACAAGUUACACCUCAGAUACACCCAGAAAGAAACGCAAACCACACAGACCAACCCAGUCCAAUGUAUUGUAUCGCCCCUCAUUGUGAAUCUGUUGUUUGUUGCUAAAAGUGUAGUCAGGCAGCAGGCUCCUCUAGUAUACCAGUUAGGUACCGCUGUUCAUUAGUGAGCCUGUUUAACCUCACAGCACUAACAUACACGGGGGAACUGGAGACCUAGGACCUAUUUACAGCAGAAAGGGACCAAAACACACACACACAAUUUGGUUUUCCCGCCUAAAGUGUCUCAUCCCCUCAGUGGUGCUGUGUGUUCAGCAGGACACCAACAGGGUGCCUGCCAGAUGACUGCCCUGUCAGUGCUAUAAUGGCUGCCAUCUGCUGUCUGGCAUACACAAAGGCUGGCAGUGGCAGUAUGUGUGUGUGUGUGUGUGUGUGUGUGUGUGUGUGUGUGUGUGUAGGGGAAAUACAGGAGGGGGAGGGACCCUCUCUGCAUUGAACACCAAUUCACACAGCAAAGUUUGAGCACUGUACAACAUAAUGACUUGAAACAGUAUAUAUAUAUUUGAAGUAAAACAUACUUCUCUAAAAUCAAUAAAUGCUUUACCCAUUGAUUGAUGUGCUACAGUACUACUAAAAUAGAUUCCUGUCAAUACACUGUAUAGUACACACGUCUGUAUAGUACACACGUCUGUAUAGUACACAUGUCUGUACUGAUACCCAACAGGUGCAUGUGUGGCCAAGCUAAGUCAAUAAGGAGUGCCCUGUGCAGGACCAAAACAAUACACUCAGUAAACACAAGGCUUUACAGGCUGAUGCCAACAACCAAUUAAGAGGCAGUAAGCCUUUGACAUGUCUCAAGCCAGUCCAGACCAUCUGAAAGCAACAAUAGCUCAAGUCCUGCCCAGACAAGAAACAGAUUGAUCUAGUGGAUAUUUGCGUGCGCGUUUGUCUGUACUGUUGAUGCUGCCCCAGCAGAAGGCAAGUCGCCAGGCCUUGUGCCCCUCCUCUUGGGGGCAAUUGAGUGAAUGGGUCUGUAAAAGCAACAGGCCCUGGGGACAAUAGCGCCCGGGGGCAUUAAGUCACGGGUGACUGGGCGUCUUUAGGGCCAGCAGCUGACCCUGUGGAGAGGCCUCUUGUCCUGCCGGAGGGGGACUCGUGUCACAGACCCCAGGCCAAGCUGACAGCACACCGCCACACACACACGGAAGGGGGAUUGUGUCCAUGGUGAACCCAGGCCAAGCUGACACACACCACAGGCAACAUAUACACAGAUACUGUUAAUCUACUGCCAUAAGGACCUGACAGGACUGGACAGGGAACAGAAGAGUCCUUCCACUGGAGGGAACAGGGAUA